ACAUUCAUUACAUCUGUAAGGUUUCUCUCCUGGACAGGUUCUGUAAUGGCUCACAGGUUGAAGAAAUGUAUAGAAUGACCUAAGACCUCGAGUCCAUUCAUAAGAUAUCUCUUAAGAUGUUUUCUAAGACCUGAGUAGGACUUGUCGCAAUCACUACACUACAGGGUGGAUCCUAUAAUGUUUUUCAAAGCCUGAUGUAUUAUAAGAGAACUUGCCACAUUUCAUACCUUCAUAGGGAUAGUCUCCAUAAUGAAUUUUGUAAUGUAAUUUGAUCUGUGACAAAUGCAAAAAGGACUUCCUAUAUUUUGUACAUUUAUGGGAUUUCUCUCUGGUAUGGACUCUGAUGUCUACUAAGGCUUGAGUACAACUUGAAGCAUUUCCCACAUUUCCUGCAUUUGUGUGGUUUCUUCCCACUAUUCGUUUCAGCAUGAGUUUAUGUGAAGUGGAAACUUAAGGGUUCUUUGGAAAGGAUGGUGUUUUGCUGGGGCGAACACGUGAAGGAACGUUUAGCUGUUGUGAAUACAGGAGUAAGGAUGUUCUGCUAAAGCAAGCAUGUGAAAGGACACAUGAUGAAUGGUUCUUCUCCAAUAACACAUGUAAUGGUCCGCCUUACAUCAGGACUCCAUAGAGAGAAAUGCACCAAAAACCUUCUGAUGAUAUGUUGCAGUUUACUGCCGCUUCCGAGGACUUGGGCUGAUUGGCAGAGUGAUGUCACCUGAGACAGAUGCACAUACUGAGGCAGGACACACACUGAGGCAAGACUGUGGAGGACACUUGAUGUUUGAAGGGUGUAAAUAGGACUCGGAGGCUGAGCUAGGCUGGCCCAUAGAGCUAUCUGUACAACACUUGUGGGUCUUGAGUAUUCUUCGAUCUUCCCAUUGCUGAGAGAGGCACAGCCAAGACUUUUCUGGCUAUCUUCCAGGUCCCUCCUACUGACUUGUGCUGAGGCUGAGGUUGAGGCCUGUCUACUAGGCUGUGCCACCACUGCUGAUUCAUGUUUGCUAUUCUGAAUCUACCAAACUGGACUGCGGGUGUAUCCAUGAAGUGUUUGCGAGUGGAUCGAGCUGCUGCUGCUGACCUGUGAACUGAACUGCAGAUUUCCAGACAACACAGAUAGGAGUUGCUCCAAAGAAUCUUUCUAAACAGGUCCACUUCCCACAUCUUCCUUUUCUACCACCUCUGGUGAGUGGUGGGCUAAAUGGAAGGUUAACGCGCCAAAGAACCAUUAUUUAAAAAGAGACUUGAAAACAAUUAAAGUUAUAUUUAUGUUCAGAGCCAGAAACCUUUUCAUACUCUGUAUUGUUGUGUUCUUAUGUGGGUUUUUGAUUUUGACUAAUGAUGGAACACACACAUUCCAACAGUUUAUACAGCUUUUAAAUUCGC
rnacentral:lncRNA from 1 species